rnacentral:pre_miRNA from 1 species
UUUACUCAGAUUUGUAUGGAAUGGGAUCGGUUGCCUACGUUUGCCUACGUUAGUCGCCAGGGGCGCUGUUCCAACUGCAUACAAAUUUUAGUUA